rnacentral:rRNA from 1 species
GAUGAACGCUGGCGGCGUGCCUAAUACAUGCAAGUCGAGCGAACAGAUGCGGAGCUUGCUCCUCUGACGUUAGCGGCGGACGGGUGAGUAACACGUGGAUAACCUACCUAUAAGACUGGGAUAACUUCGGGAAACCGGAGCUAAUACCGGAUAAUAUCUUGAACCGCAUGGUUCAAUAGUGAAAGACGGUUUUGCUGUCACUUAUAGAUGGAUCCGCGCCGCAUUAGCUAGUUGGUAAGGUAACGGCUUACCAAGGCAACGAUGCGUAGCCGACCUGAGCGGGUGAUCGGCCACAUGGGAACUGAGACACGGUCCAGACUCCUACGGGAGGGAGCAGUAGGGAAUCUUCCGCAAUGGGCGAAAGCCUGACGGAGCAAGGCCGCGUGAGUGACGAAGGUGUUCGGAUCGUAAAACUGUGUUAUUAGGGAAGAACAAAUGUGUAAGUAACUAUGCACGUCUUGACGGUACCUAAUCAGAAAGCCACGGCUAACUACGUG